UACGUAGGGUGCGAGCGUUGUCCGGAAUUACUGGGCGUAAAGGGCUCGUAGGCGGCCAACUAAGUCGGAUGUGAAAUCCCCAGGCUCAACCUGGGAACUGCAUCCGAUACUGGAUGGCUUGAAUUCGGGAGAGGGAUGCAGAAUUCCAGGUGUAGCGGUGAAAUGCGUAGAUAUCUGGAGGAAUACCGGUGGCGAAGGCGGCAUCCUGGACCGACAUUGACGCUGAGGAGCGAAAGCCAGGGGAGCAAACGGG
rnacentral:rRNA from 1 species